UAUAUUCUUUCGAUCCUUUCGUCCAAUCAACGCGAAGUAUUGUUAUCCAAUCGAAGAGCUACAUACAUACAUAACUACAUACGUAUGUAUAUGUAUAUAAAGAUUUCACUAUAUUGAUCGAUUCGAGAUUUUGCUUGCGAUUCUCGAAAUGCGAACUCUCGAAUCGGUAGUUCCUCGUUAUACCUCAUUCGUGUUUCCUUUUCUUUGUGUAUUAUGUGCCUUGUGCGAUUCGUAUUUUCUUGUGCGGACUUUUCUUCUAAUAAAAGGAGAUUUUUAAGCGUUAGACGAAGAAACCGGCAAGCAUCUCGAAUAUUUUCUUUUUAGUGGAUCUCGGUGUGCAGAGUGAGUACAAAAUACAUAUAUAUAUAUAUAUGUAUAUAUAUAUCGUAUAUGGUGUGUUUGCCUUAAUGUAUGUUUCAUAUGUUUUGUAUGUUACGUGUGGCUAUGUAUGUUUUAUGUUUCUUUCAUUGCCACCCUCGUCUCCCGUGCCCCGUCCCCCGCCUCCGUGCAUCAAAACGUUCCUGUGUUUUCUCUUUACGUUUAUCCGAUUAACGAUUAUAAUUCUCGCGUCGUUUAUUACUCGAAUAUGUAAUUACAUCGAUUUUAAUUAAAUUAAUCCGAAUUAACCUCCCACUUCGUAAUUAAAGUAAACGAACGUCACUCAUCAGGAACGCUCAUUUGCGGACGAGAAGAUCGUUGUUUAACAAAAAAGAACAAAAAAGAAAGAAUGAAAGAAAGGAAAAAAAUGGAAAAAAAGAAAAUAAUGUACAAAUAAAUUAUGAAAAAGUAGCGACUCGAAGAAUAGAAUGUGUCGUCGUUGCUAUUUCGAAAAUUAUUUUCGUUUCGUUAUUAACUCGGCCUCGGCUCGACGGCACGCGUCCGAUAUAUUCGGAUUCGAUUCUCUCAAUAUUUCUUGUCUUUUUCUUUUUCAUUUUCAUUUUCUUUUCUGUGUAUUUUCUUCUUUCUUUUCUUUUUCUUUCUUACGUCUUUGAACGUACGUUUAUGUAUAAAUUACAUGGAGAAGCGCAGAUAAAAUCGUGCGAAGCUUUAUUUAUUAAAAAUUAGAAGAGUUACGUCAUUUCUUUUUUAGAGAGAGAGAGAGAGAGAGAGAGAGAAUAAGAGAGACAGAUAGAUAGAGAUAGAGAGAAAGAGUGAGCAAGAGAGAUAGAUAGAGAGAGAAAGAGAGUAAGAGAGAUAGAUAGAGAUUGAAAGAGAGAGAGAGAAAGAGAGAGGGAGAGAGAGAGAGAGAGAGAGAGAGAGAAAGAGCGUCUUUGCACUCACAGCCGUUAUUGUCAGUUGUCAUGGACGUUUUACAGAAUAUCAUCGACAUCGGAAUGAUCGAAUCGUUGGACAUACGAGAACCAUCUAUCAGAUAUUAUAUAUAGAAGAGAAAGUAAAAUAUAUAUGUAUCUAUAUGUAUAUAUAUUUUUUUCUUUCUUUAUUAUUAUUAUUAUUAUUAUUUUUUGUUAUUUUUCAAUCUCUUCUUCUUCUUCCAACUCUUUCUCCUUCUGCUUCUCCUCCUGCUCCUCCUCUUUCUCAUCAUCGUCAUUUUCUCUUUCUCGAAAAUUCACUCCAAAAGUUCCAACAUUUCGAUCUUCCGAUCAUUCAUAUUCUUUUCCUUUCCCUGUGAUUACCAUGAUUAGUAUGCCAUUUUCGAAUGUAAAUGCAGUGAAGUUUUGAAAAUAACCGUAAAAGCGGUCUCAUCUUUUCUCUUUUUUUAUUAUCAUUAUUAUUAUUAUUAUUAUCAUUAUUCUUUUUACUUUUUUUUUCUUCGUCAUGUUUCUUUCUUUCUUUCUUUCUUUUUUCUUUUUUUUUUCGUUCUACUACGUUUAAAAUGUAGAUCCUAUUAAUAAAUGAAUGUGCGUGUAU